AGAACGAAUGCUGGCGGCAUGCCUAACACAUGCAAGUCGAACGAGACCUUCGGGUCUAGUGGCGCACGGGUGCGUAACGCGUGGGAAUCUGCCCUUAGGUUCGGAAUAACAGUUAGAAAUGACUGCUAAUACCGGAUAAUGACGUAAGUCCAAAGAUUUAUCACCUAGGGAUGAGCCCGCGUAAGAUUAGCUAGUUGGUGGGGUAAAGGCCUACCAAGGCUACGAUCUUUAGCUGGUCUGAGAGGAUGAUCAGCCACACUGGGACUGAGACACGGCCCAGACUCCUACGGGAGGCAGCAGUGGGGAAUAUUGGACAAUGGGCGAAAGCCUGAUCCAGCAAUGCCGCGUGAGUGAUGAAGGCCUUAGGGUUGUAAAGCUCUUUUACCCGGGAUGAUAAUGACAGUACCGGGAGAAUAAGCUCCGGCUAACUCCGUGCCAGCAGCCGC
rnacentral:rRNA from 1 species